rnacentral:rRNA from 1 species
GACGAACGCUGGCGGCGUGCCUAAUACAUGCAAGUAGAACGCUGAAGAGAGGAGCUUGCUCUUCUUGGAUGAGUUGCGAACGGGUGAGUAACGCGUAGGUAACCUGCCUUGUAGCGGGGGAUAACUAUUGGAAACGAUUGCUAAUACCGCAUAACAAUGGAUGACACAUGUCAUUUAUUUGAAAGGGGCAAUUGCUCCACUACAAGAUGGACCUGCGUUGUAUUAGCUAGUAGGUGAGGUAACGGCUCACCUAGGCGACGAUACAUAGCCGACCUGAGAGGGUGAUCGGCCACACUGGGACUGAGACACGGCCCAGACUCCUACGGGAGGCAGCAGUAGGGAAUCUUCGGCAAUGGGGGCAACCCUGACCGAGCAACGCCGCGUGAGUGAAGAAGGUUUUCGGAUCGUAAAGCUCUGUUGUAAGUCAAGAACGAGUGUGAGAGUGGAAAGUUCACACUGUGACGGUAGCUUACCAGAAAGGGACGGCUAACUACGUGCCAGCAGCCGCGGUAAUACGUAGGUCCCGAGCGUUGUCCGGAUUUAUUGGGCGUAAAGCGAGCGCAGGCGGUUUGAUAAGUCUGAAGUUAAAGGCUGUGGCUCAACCAUAGUUCGCUUUGGAAACUGUCAAACUUGAGUGCAGAAGGGGAGAGUGGAAUUCCAUGUGUAGCGGUGAAAUGCGUAGAUAUAUGGAGGAACACCGGUGGCGAAAGCGGCUCUCUGGUCUGUAACUGACGCUGAGGCUCGAAAGCGUGGGGAGCGAACAGGAUUGGAUACCCUGGUAGUCCACGCCGUAAACGAUGAGUGCUAGGUGUUGGAUCCUUUCCGGGAUUCAGUGCCGCAGCUAACGCAUUAAGCACUCCGCCUGGGGAGUACGACCGCAAGGUUGAAACUCAAAGGAAUUGACGGGGGCCCGCACAAGCGGUGGAGCAUGUGGUUUAAUUCGAAGCAACGCGAAGAACCUUACCAGGUCUUGACAUCCCGAUGCUAUUUCUAGAGAUAGAAAGUUACUUCGGUACAUCGGUGACAGGUGGUGCAUGGUUGUCGUCAGCUCGUGUCGUGAGAUGUUGGGUUAAGUCCCGCAACGAGCGCAACCCCUAUUGUUAGUUGCCAUCAUUCAGUUGGGCACUCUAGCGAGACUGCCGGUAAUAAACCGGAGGAAGGUGGGGAUGACGUCAAAUCAUCAUGCCCCUUAUGACCUGGGCUACACACGUGCUACAAUGGUUGGUACAACGAGUUGCGAGUCGGUGACGGCAAGCUAAUCUCUUAAAGCCAAUCUCAGUUCGGAUUGUAGGCUGCAACUCGCCUACAUGAAGUCGGAAUCGCUAGUAAUCGCGGAUCAGCACGCCGCGGUGAAUACGUUCCCGGGCCU